CCCUUAGAUGUCCUGGGCUGCACGCGCGCUACACUGACACGCUCAACGAGUAAUACCUGCUCCGAAGGGACUGGGUAAUCUUGUUAAAUCGUGUCGUGAUGGGGAUAGAUUAUUGCAAUUAUUAAUCUUCAACGAGGAAUUCCUAGUAAGUGUAAGUCAUCAGCUUGCGCUGAUUACGUCCCUGCCCUUUGUACACACCGCCCGUCGCUCCUACCGAUUGAAUGAUCCGGUGAGGCCCCCGGAAUGUGGCAACGGCUUCGGUUCGCCGAACUGAUGCUGCGUGAAGCUGUCCAAACCUUAUCAUUUAGAGGAAGGAGAANUCGUANCA
rnacentral:rRNA from 1 species